AUUAAAUUUAGCGGUGUCCGAAAAUUUCUGGAUAAUCGCUGCCUCAUUUGCAUGGCCUCGAGCGAUUUCCAGCCUCCUUGGUUGUGUUACGGAGGCUGGUAGGUCAAUCUGAAGCCUGCCCAUUUGAGUUAAAGCCUUUCUUUCCCUUCUUGAUGCCAAAACCUGACUCUGUUUGGUUUAGAAGGGAAAGAAAGAAAGAAUUUUGAGGGAAAAAAAUCAAUCUUUUUGUGUGCGAUUUGCAUAUAUUUGGAUUUUGGAAUCUGGAA
rnacentral:misc_RNA from 1 species